rnacentral:rRNA from 1 species
GACAGAGGAUGCAAGCGUUAUCCGGAAUUACUGGGCGUAAAGCGUGCGCAGGCGGUUUUGUAAGCCAGAUGUGAAAUCCCCGGGCUCAACCUGGGAACUGCAUUUGGGACUGCAAGGCUAGAGUACGGCAGAGGGGGGUAGAAUUCCUGGUGUAGCAGUGAAAUGCGUAGAUAUCAGGAGGAAUACCGAUGGCGAAGGCAGCCCCCUGGGUCGAUACUGACGCUCAUGCACGAAAGCGUGGGGAGCAAACAGG